rnacentral:lncRNA from 1 species
GAUGUUUUUUAAUUUUAUUUUACAUUAGAAAAUAUUUUCUAUGUUUUACGUGGUUCAUUUUAUUUCCCUCCUUUCUUCCCUUCCCCCUCCCAGAAUCAACAAGAAAAACCACUUGUAUAAAUGUUAUGAGCUGCACAACCCUGGACAAGUUCAUAGAACCUCUCUCAGCCUCAGUGUCCUCAUCUUUAAAAUGGAAUUGUUGGGAGAAUCAAAUGAGAUAUCGAAUAAUAAACUGGAGGAAUUCCAUGGAGACUGGAACAACCUCCAGGAAGUGAUGCAGAGUGAGAGGAGCAGAACCAGAACAUUGUAUACAGAGACUGAUACACUGUGCUACAAUCGAUUGUAAUGAACUUCUCCAUUAGUGGCAAUGCAGUGAUACUGAACAACCAGGAGGGAUCUACGAUGAAGAACACUAUCCACAUUCAGAGGAAAAACUAAAUCAACUGCUUCAAUAUAUGGGUCGAGGGGGAUAUGAUUGGGGAUACAGACUCUAAAUGAUCCACCCUAGUGCAAACAUCAACAACCUGGAAAUAGGUUCUGGUCAAAGACACAUGUAAUACCCAGUGGAAUUUCAUGUUGGCUGUGGGAAAGGGAGGUGGAGGGAAGGGAGGGAAAUAAUAUGAUUCUUAUAACCAAGGAAUAAUCUUCUAAAUUGACUAAAUAAAAUUUAAAACAAACA